AUACCUUUCUCGGCCUUUUGGCUAAAAUCAAGUGUAGUAUCUGUUCUUAUCAGUUUAAUAUCUGAUACGUGGGCCAUUGGCUCACAUGAUAUUAAAUUUAUUUUUUUAGGGGGAGGGUCCAUUACGGUAGCUUGCUACUGGGAUCCUCGAGCGUCGCCCCUGCGUUGCACUACAGCAAGGGCCAGGCGCACCCCCC